rnacentral:rRNA from 1 species
UACGUAGGGGGCAAGCGUUGUCCGGAAUCAUUGGGCGUAAAGCGCGUGUAGGCGGCCCGGUAAGUCCGCUGUGAAAGUCCAGGGCUCAACCCUGGGAUGCCGGUGGAUACUGUCGGGCUCGAGUCCGGAAGAGGCGAGUGGAAUUCCUGGUGUAGCGGUGAAAUGCGUAGAUAUCUGGAGGAAUACCGGUGGCGAAGGCGGCAUCCUGGACCGACAUUGACGCUGAUGAGCGAAAGCUAGGGGAGCAAACAGG